UACAGAGGGUGCGAGCGUUGUUCGGAAUUAUUGGGCGUAAAGAGCGUGUAGGCGGCUCGGUAAGUCCGCUCUGAAAGCCCGGGGCUCAACCCCGGGAGGCGGGCGGAUACUGUCGAGCUAGAGUCCGGAAGAGGCGAGUGGAAUUCCUGGUGUAGCGGUGAAAUGCGCAGAUAUCAGGAGGAACACCAAUGGCGAAGGCAGCUCGCUGGGACGGUACUGACGCUGAGACGCGAAAGCGUGGGGAGCAAACAGG
rnacentral:rRNA from 1 species